rnacentral:rRNA from 1 species
AGUGGCGAACGGGUGAGUAACACGUGGGUGAUCUGCCCUGCACUUUGGGAUAAGCCUGGGAAACUGGGUCUAAUACCGGAUAGGACCACGCGCUUCAUGGUGUGUGGUGGAAAGCUUUUGCGGUGUGGGAUGGGCCCGCGGCCUAUCAGCUUGUUGGUGGGGUAAUGGCCUACCAAGGCGACGACGGGUAGCCGGCCUGAGAGGGUGACCGGCCACACUGGGACUGAGAUACGGCCCAGACUCCUACGGGAGGCAGCAGUGGGGAAUAUUGCACAAUGGGCGCAAGCCUGAUGCAGCGACGCCGCGUGAGGGAUGACGGCCUUCGGGUUGUAAACCUCUUUCAAUAGGGACGAAGCGCAAGUGACGGUACCUAUAGAAGAAGGACCGGCCAACUACGUGCCAGCAGCCGCGGUAAUACGUAGGGUCCGAGCGUUGUCCGGAAUUACUGGGCGUAAAGAGCUCGUAGGUGGUUUGUCGCGUUGUUCGUGAAAACUCACAGCUUAACUGUGGGCGUGCGGGCGAUACGGGCAGACUAGAGUACUGCAGGGGAGACUGGAAUUCCUGGUGUAGCGGUGGAAUGCGCAGAUAUCAGGAGGAACACCGGUGGCGAAGGCGGGUCUCUGGGCAGUAACUGACGCUGAGGAGCGAAAGCGUGGGGAGCGAACAGGAUUAGAUACCCUGGUAGUCCACGCCGUAAACGGUGGGUACUAGGUGUGGGUUUCCUUCCUU